rnacentral:rRNA from 1 species
AGCAUAUGCUUGUUUCAAGGAUUAAGCCAUGCAAGUCUGAGAGUAAAUGGAUUCACAGUGGGUCUGCAAACGGCUCAUUAAAUCAGCAGGAAUUUACCCGUUGAAGUACGGUAACCCGUACCACUCGGAUAACCGCCCUAACUGGGUGGCUAAUACGUGUACGAGACCUUUCUUUACCGUCCAACUCCCAAGGGCCUGAAACCCGAGGGAGGGUGAAGGAGUUCAGUUCGUCGACAAGAAAGUCAACGCCCGCAAGGGCAGUGUGUACCGAUUACUCAGACGAACCGAGUCGUGAUAGCGCACUUACCUUCGGGUAGGCGCAAGAACGGACAACCUUCUGCCCUAUCAGCCGUCGAUUGUUAGGUAGUGGCUAACAAUGGCUGUGACGGGUAACGGGGAAUUGGGGUUUGAUUCCGGAGAGGGCGCCUGAGAGAUGGCGACCAUAUCUAAGGAAAGCAGCAGGCACGCAAAUUGCCCAAUGUCAAAACUGACGAGGCAGCGACGAGAAAUAACAACCUCGAUUGCCUUAUGGCUGAUUGAGGAUUGUCAUGAGAUGUCUCUAAACCACCGUACGAGUAUCGAAUGGAGGACAAGUCUGGUGCCAGCACCCGCGGUAAUUCCAGCUCCAUUAGCGUAUACUAACGCUGUUGCUGUUAAAAAGCUCGUAGUUCGAACCAGAGUGGGGCUUGCAAAGUGCCCCUCCAUCUGGAGAUGGUGUUCGGCUCCGUCUGUAUCACCUCGACAUGUGGUUGUGGAUUCAACGCUUUGCGUUCGAGUCACCGCUCUCGAAACGCGGUACUAAGUCUCUGCGGAAGCCUCCUUCACUGGAUGGUGGAAGCGCUCUCGCGUCCAACACACGCAUCCGAGAUGACCGUGGAAGUUACUGUGAACAAAACAGCGCGUUCAAAGCAACCGACUUGCUCGGUUGAAUGUCUCAGCAUGGAAUGACAAGGGAUCGACUACGGUGUCUACUUUUGUUGACUUUCAAGGCCCCUGUGGGCAACCUGGCCGAGAGCUCCGUUCUUGGUCUCCCACUAGGCGACCCCCGUGGUCAACUAGCGGGGCGGACCAGGAACGCCUCUUGGGCUGUUCGGGAUCGAUGGGAAAUGACGGGGGGAUACGUAUUCCGAUGUUAGAGGUGAAAUUCUUAGAUCAUCGGAAGACGAACUUCUGCGAAAGCAUUUCUCAAGAAUUCUUUCAUCAAUCAAGAACGAGAGUGUGGGGAUCGAAGAUGAUCAGAUACCGUCGUAGUCCAUUACCGUAAACGAUGCCGAUUCGGCAUCGGGAGUCUGUUCUCCUUAGCCGACUUUCUCGGCACCUCCCCUGCUAACGAGAAAUCCAAAUCUAUGGGUUCAGGGGGAAGUACAUUCGCAAGGCUGAAACCUAAAGGAAUUGACGGAAUGACACCACAAGGCGUGGAUGAUGCGGCUUAAUUUGACUCAACACGGGAAAUUUUACCGGGUCAGGACGUGCGUUUGGAUUGACAGAUUGAGAGCUCUUUCUUGAUCCCACGAUCGGUGGUGCAUGGCCGUUUCUGGUUCGUGGAUUGAUCUGUCUGCCCAAUUGCGAUAACGGACGAGAUCUCCGCCUCUUAGUAGGCGUUGGCCGCGUAUAUAUGUAGGGUGGUCUGUAACCUGGCUUCGGUCAGUUACAGUUGCCCGAGCGGCCUGGUGCUUCUUAGAGGGACUGCGCACGAACCAUAGUGCGCGGAAGAUGGAGUCAAUAGCAGGUCUGUGAUGCCCCUAAAUGUCCCGGGCUGCACGCGCCAUACACUGGAACGACAAACGAGUUGUGACUCGAUCCGAGUCCUAGCCAGAAGUGGUUGGGAAAUCUGAGAAACCCGAUCCGUGCUCGGGCUAGACGAUUGAAAUUAUUUGCCUUCAACGAGGAAUGCCUAGUAAGCGCAAGUCAUCAGCUUGCGUUGACUAUGUCCCUGCCAUUUGUACACACCGCCCGUCGUUACUACGAAGUGUUCGCUAAAUAGAAAGAUUGGGAGAUGUUACCGGAACGCUCCGGCCUUGCCGGCUGACAUUGAACUUCGUUAAUAUUUAGCGGAUCGACGAAGUAAAAGUCGUAACAAGGUGGCUGUAGGCGAACCUGCAGCCG